rnacentral:rRNA from 1 species
AACGAACGCUGGCGGCGUGGAUAAGACAUGCAAGUCGAACGGUAAUCUGGGGAUAGCAAUAUUCCCAGGUUAUAGUGGCGAAAGGGUGCGUAACACGUGGGCAAUCUGCCGUAAAGUUGGGAAUAACUCGCCGAAAGGUGAGCUAAUGCCGAAUGUGGCUACAAGCAGGCAUCUGCAGGUAGCUAAAGCCAGGGACCCUUCGGGGCCUGGCGCUUUCCGAUGAGCCCGCGGCCUAUCAGCUAGUUGGUGGGGUAACGGCCUACCAAGGCAAAGACGGGUAGCUGGUCUGAGAGGACGACCAGCCACACUGGAACUGAGACACGGUCCAGACACCUACGGGUGGCAGCAGUCGAGAAUCUUUCUCAAUGGGGGAAACCCUGAAGGAGCGACGCCGCGUGGGGGAUGAAGGGCUUCGGCUCGUAAACCCCUGUCAUUCGCGAACAAGGUCGGCCAUUGAAUAGGUGGCCGAAUUGAUGGUAGCGAAAGGGGAAGGGACGGCUAACUCUGUGCC